rnacentral:tRNA from 1 species
CUUUAAGGUAUUAUUGUAAUAAGUAGUGGGUAAAAAGGGGCCUUUAGGCCCCUUAUGUGUGUAGA